AUGCAGUCCUGUGACCAACCCGGCACUUUUCCAAUCACAGACUGUUAAGAUCUCUGACAACAGAACCUGCAGUUGUUUGAGGAGGAGAUUUCAACAGUGACCUGUAUACUUGAAAAGCACAUCUUAGUGGCAACACUGCAGCUGUUACUACCAACAUCUGGAUCAGAGAUUCCGGUGUGCCUACCUCCUCCUGGGUUAGCAGGAGAAUGAAGAUGCGGAAGGAAGGGUGGAGAGAGGCCCCAGGGCUGUGCUAUAUGCUCCUCACAGAUCAUGUAUGCAAGGCCUUUUUCAUAUCAUGGAGGAAACUUGGAACAUGGAAUACUGAAUGACUACAUAAGAUUCUAUUAAGUGCUUAUGUAACUACUUAACUAACAAUUUCUUUUCUUGUUUCCAUUUUUGUUUUACCAUAAUAAACAAAAGAGGGUUUAUUUUCCAAUGAAGUUAGAUGUUCCCUGUGCAAAUUCAUGUGUUGAAGCCCUAACUCCAUGACAGUUAUAUUUGAAGGAAGUUAUUAAAGUUAAAGGAGGCCAUUGGGCUGGAACUCUGACCCACAAGGAUUCAUGUCCUUUUAAGAGACCCCAGAGAGUGAGCUAACUCUCUCUCUCUCUCCAUCCCACAUCCCACAGCAAGAAGUGGUGGUGGUCUAUAAACCAGGAAGAGAACCCUCACCAGGAACUGAAUGGGCCAGCACCUUGAUCUUGGACUCUUAGCCUCCAGAACGGUGACAGAUUCCUGUUGUUGAAUCCACCUAGUCUGUGGCAUUUUGUUAUGGCAGCCGGGGAUGAUGAGGACAAUAUCUUUGGGUGUGAGGCCCAUGCUUUAUUUUGCCAGCCCUCCAUCUGCUCUAUGCUUGGGCUCCACAUCCCCAACUGAUUCACUUAAAAACACUAGUUCAAUAAUAAAAUAAUUAAGAAUAUCAAGAUAGUUAUAGCAGAACAUGGAAACAAGCGUGAGGCCUCAUGAACGUGGACUCUGGGACUUCACGGGCCACUUGCCCAUGAAGUCAGCCCUGACCCUGGACAGCUUUUGUGUUCCCGCUGUGAGCAUCUGAACCUCCUUCCCCAUUUGUCCCCACUUAGAUCUUGGCAUCUGACAGAUAUUCAAUAAAUGCUUUAUGUUGUUCAAUAUCUGGUGACACAUAACUGACUCUUAGCUCUGUGUU